GAUGAACGCUAGCGGCAGGCUUAACACAUGCAAGUCGAGGGGCAGCGCGGGUAGCAAUACCUGGCGGCGACCGGCAAACGGGUGCGGAACACGUACAGAACCUACCUUGAUCUGGGGCAUAGCCCGGAGAAAUCCGGAUUAACUCCCCAUAAAACAAUUGAAAGGCAUCUUUUGAUUAUUAAAAAUUUAUUGGAUCGAGAUGGCUGUGCGUCCCAUUAGCUAGUUGGUAGGGUAACGGCCUACCAAGGCGACGAUGGGUAGCUGGUGUGA
rnacentral:rRNA from 1 species